rnacentral:rRNA from 1 species
CCUACGGGAGGCAGCAGUGAGGAAUAUUGGUCAAUGGGCGCGAGCCUGAACCAGCCAAGUCGCGUGAGGGAAGACGGUCCUAUGGAUUGUAAACCUCUUUUGUCGGGGAGCAAAAGACGCCACGCGUGGCGUUCCGAGAGUACCCGAAGAAAAAGCAUCGGCUAACUCCGUGCCAGCAGCCGCGGUAAUACGGAGGAUGCGAGCGUUAUCCGGAUUUCUUGGGUUUAAAGGGGGCGCAGGCGGAAGAUCAAGUCAGUGGUAAAAUUGAGAGGCUCAACCUCUUCGAGCCGUUGAAACUGGUUUUCUUGAGUGAGCGAGAAGUAGGCGGAAUGCGUGGUGUAGCGGUGAAAUGCAUAGAUAUCACGCAGAACUCCGAUUGCGAAGGCAGCAUACCGGCGCUCAACUGACGCUCAUGCACGAAAGUGUGGGUAUCGAACAGGAUUAGAUACCCCAGUAGUC